rnacentral:rRNA from 1 species
UACGUAGGGUGCGAGCGUUAAUCGGAAUUACUGGGCGUAAAGCGUGCGCAGGCGGUUCGUUGUGUCGGUGGUGAAAUCCCCGGGCUUAACCUGGGAAUGGCCAUGGAAACUGGCGAACUGGAGUGCGGCAGAGGGGGGUGGAAUUCCGCGUGUAGCAGUGAAAUGCGUCGAGAUGCGGAGGAACACCGAUGGCGAAGGCAGCCCCCUGGGCUAGCACUGACGCUCAGGCACGAAAGCGUGGGGAGCAAACAGG